rnacentral:lncRNA from 1 species
GUGAAGUAUCAGGCACUCAAGGGAAGAUAAGAUGAACAUGGUUUGGCUCUUUUUCCUAGACCUGACCAGAGACAGCAUCUUGCUAUUUUGCUCAGGGUGGUCCUGAACUCCUGGACUCAAGCAAUCCUCCUGUGUUGGCCUCCCAAAGUCCUGGGAUUACAGGCAUGAGCCACUGCUCCCAGCCCCAUCUGAUCUCGAUAGUCCUCAAUAAGGAGUAGCCAUUAUUAUCACCUGAAAUAAAGAUGAGGAAACUGACUUCUUUAGUGACUUCCCUCAAGUUUGUUGAAGUGUUUCAUUUCAACAAGUACUCGUUUGCUAAAGUUAGGCCCAGCUCUCCCAUUCUAGUAGAGAAAAUACAGUAUUUUUUUCUUACUCUGGUGGAAAAAGAUGAAAAGUGAUACCACAAUCCAAAACUAAAUCUGGCAGUAACUGAUGCAUGCUUCUAGGAAGAGUCCAGCAGAAAGCUGCACAGGGGAAAUCUUGGUACCUCUUCAGUUCACAGCCUGACCUGGUUUGGCUUCAAGAAGCAGAGAGGACCACAGAAAAGGAGAGAAAGAAAGGGAACAGAUACUUCCAGGGAGGUGUGAGACAAAGGGUGAGUAAUUCAAAGGCUAGAGAGAGAUGGUGAAUAUGUGCUCACAUAAAACAGGUC